AAAAGUUAAAAAAAAAUCCCUUCUUAAUUUUGUUAACAGCUGCCAAUACAAUUCUAUAACGAUUUUUUUUCUUUUAAAAGAACCUCUUUCAGCUUGUGCAAUAUUAAGUUAAUUCAAUGAGUAAGGAUUUUUAGACACAUCUUGCAAUCUUGACCUGUAUUACAUGCUAACCAACAGCGUUGCGUCUGAUUCUAUACAUGUACUCAAUUUUUCUAUCAAAGAAAUAUUUUUUUCACUUAAAAAUUAAUAAACUUAAAACAGUAGUACAACUCCAUCAACUGUAUUAUAUAUAUAUAAACUAAAAACAAAAAAUAAAAUAAACACAACCCCAUAAAAAUAAACAAUUAAAUAGAUAUGAUAUGAUAGAUAUGUGAAUGUUAAAAUAAUAUGUAUGCUAUAUUAUAGCCUAUAUACAAUGAUCAAUGAUACUAAUACAAGCACUUGUUUCCAUGAAUAACAAAACUCCAGUAAGUGUUGACAAUAAAAAUAAAAUAGUCUAAUAUCAAAUAAAGCUUGAUCGAAAGAAAUAAGCAUACUUUUAGUUCAUUUAGAACUAUAAUAAGGAAAUUGCAAUUAUAUUUUUUUGCAUAUUUGUACCCACCAAAAAUGAAUUAUUUAGAGUGUAAUUUAAUAAAUUACUAUACAAUGUAUUUAAAAUUUGCACUAAGCUUGGCAUAACUAGAUGAUACAAAGAGUCUGUAUUGCUUGUCUCGCUCAAGAAUACAAUAAAUUUCCCCCUUUUUUAGUAUCAUAACUAUCAUGUUAGAUGACUAUGAGGCUUCAGACAACAUUUAUUACCUUUUGCUUGUGUAGUUCUAAACAUAGAUCAUUUCUUUUAGAUUUUUUUCUCAUGUUUUUUAUUUGAAAAAGGGAGUUUUUCUUGGUAUAUUUUAGAAGAUAAAUGUUUGAAUUACGUGUUAUGAGACAUGCAGUAGCAGAAUUUUCCUCUCAUUGUUUAGACUUUUACCAGAAAAAAUGUCUAACAAAUGUUAUAUUAUUUAAACAGGUGUAAUUUUCUAAUGUGUCACUAUUUUAACAAAAAAAUCAAGUCAAAUAAUUGCGGUGUAAAGUCUGUAUAGAUGUCCUAGGAAUAUUCCAUAAGCAUUAGUGCAAACUGGCAAAGUACUGUGGAAUCAUUAUUAUUCGUUAGAUACCAAUUUUCGUGGGUUUUUGUGGAUACAAGUGAACUACUAAUUCAAAUGUUCAAUGAAUAAUGCAUUUUCAAUAGGCUUUGUAUACAGAGAUUAGCAAAAACCACGAAAUCAAAUAUCCACGAAUAUGCAAGUUUUCAGCAAUCCACAAAAAUUGAUGCCCCGAAAAUAAAUGAAUCCAAAGUAGUUUUAAAUUAAGAGAAUAUUUACUGUCAGACAAUGGCUGCCAAAGGAAAGCAAUGGCUAAUGAUGAUGCCACAUGCCAAAUCAGCUAGUUAUGCUUGGAGCUGUAUUUCAACAACAAAUGUCAUGGAUGCUUUUUUGUUAAGAUAAAUAAGCUAUAUUGAAUUAAAAAUGUUGCACAAUAAUGCCACAAUUAACCAAUGAAAGCAUUUUCUAAUUUUUCAGACAUUUCCAUUACCCGUAACUAGAAGAUAUGUAGUACAAAAACAUCCAUAUAAACAAAUCUGAAUGUUAAUCUUAUAACACCUUAUGUAUU
rnacentral:lncRNA from 1 species